AUGCUGCCCCUCCAGAUGAUGAUGGUCCUGGUGUCCAUGUCUUUGGUUGUGUCCCCUUCAAUGGGCAUACCAACGGACGACAAGUGCAAGUGCCUCAUGUGCGUCUGCGACCUGGAUCCGCACCCGCUGCCGCCGGCAAUGCCGUCGCGCCACCCAGCGCCUUACCCGCCACCGUCGGAGCCAGAGCCAGAGCCAGAGCCAAAGCCUGAGCCACAGCCGGAACCAGAGCCGGAGCCAAAGCCUGAGCCUGAGCCACAGCCGGAGCCGGAGCCCGAGCCGAAGCCAAAGCCACAGCACUGCCCGCCUCCGCCGGAGCCUGUGCCGACGCCAGUGUACUACUACUACCCACCGCCGUCGGAGCCGGAACCAACGCCCGUGUACUACCUUCCACCGCCGGCUGAGCCGUCAUCAAAACGCGCACGGAACAAACUGCACUGGUCAGGAAGAGUUCCCAGGUAUACCAAUAUCAUGCCCUGCAUCACGUGGCACCUCACCGUAUGCAACAAGAGGUCCAAUCAAGAAUGGCGCAGCAUCGCGCACAAGUAUUGUAUCAAGAGCGAGGGCAAAGACCUUUCAAGAGCGAGGUCGAACAUCCAUCAGAACUGCAGCGUGAUCAAGACUGCUGCUCCCAAGACCAAGGCCACAAGGAAGACCCGGCAGGCACACAAGGCAUCGGAUCCCGACCGAUCAUCCGACACAGGCGUCGUCGAGGUCGAAUGCUCCUCCAUCUUCGGAGUCGGGGACGCUGGUUCUGUAACGGCAGCUGCAAGGGCAUACACAGCAGUUUAA
rnacentral:rRNA from 1 species